ensembl:lncRNA
CGGGGUUGGAGAGAGGGGGGGGGUGUUCGGUGUUUCUGGAAGUAGGCGUGGCUAAUGCCCUGACUGACUUGGGGUGGGCGUGGCGGCGUGCGCAGGCUUAAUUGCGGCGUCAUCCUCUUGGCUCUGACGCUGGCAGGGUCUGGAACUCCAGCUCUGACCGCCUCAGCCUCCGUAGCAGCUCCGUGCUGACUCGGCCCGCUACUGGUAGCGGCUCCGCAGUGAUUUUUAGAGCCGGUUGAUAGCAGCAGAUCGCCUUUGGGGAAGGAGUUAAUUUUCUCUCCUUGUCGCACUGACUCCGACGCCCCGGCCUGUGGAUGUGCGGCGAGGCUCUUCGCAUUUUCCAUGCACCAGAAUUUAUCGCUGGGCUGAUGGCUGCGUGGACCUAGUAGGACUUGCAAGUGGUCACCUGGGAACACAGAAGGCGGGGACAGGGCCGGAAGGCGACUUUAAAAAGUCAUUACCGUAUUUGUGUGUUCAGGACCUGCGUUCAGGCGCUCCCGUGUCCAGGCGAGGUCGGAGGACAACUCUCAGAAAUAGGUUUUCUUCCCCCAUCUUGGGGAUCCAGGGAUCAAACUCAGGUCUUCAGGCUUGCUUUUCGGUCAGACCGUCUUGCUCAGCUCUCUGGUGCACCAACCGUUCCUAGAAAUGUGAAGGGAAUCUUCGGAGACUCGGUGAAGCGAAACUCAGUCCCAGUGGUGGUCACUUGUUAUCUGCCUGUUGUUUAGAUUAUCCUUCAGACAUCAGGUGUCCCAGAAGAAUCUGGCUCAAACUUCUCUUCCAAGAUAAGGUUUCUUCCACCUUGAAAGUUUUCCAGGUCUUCAUCAAAUCUGGGAAACUGAACAUAAAUUCCCAAUUCUUAAGUAAAUGGUUUCCCAUACUUUUUAGUCAAAUAACUUUUUAAUGUAAAUAUACUUUAUGGAGAUUUUUAUCCUUAAAAUGAGGGAAAAUUUCAGGCUUUGGUAUCUUCUAUUUAUAUAAAUGUUUUUUAAAGCUGGAGAUAUAGCUUAGCGGUUAAGAGCACUGGCUGCACUACCAGAGGUCCUGAGUUCAAUUCCCAGCAACCACAUGACAGCUUACAGCUGUCUGCAACUCCAGUUCCAGGGGAUCUGAUAUACUCAAACAACAAUGCACAUUAAAUUCAUACAUACAUACAUACAUAUUUUUAUUAUAAUACCCAGGAAACUAUCCAAGGCUUGUUUGUACUUUGAGAGUUAGUAAUUACAAAAUUAAUAUCUAAAGUAAUUGCUAAAACGAUUGAGGGCUAUCUCUCUCCACUGUCUCUGUAUCUGUGAAGUACUCGGUUGGUAAUUACACACACACACACACACACACACACACACACACACACACACACACAAGUAAAAAGAAAAAAGACAAUUAGACAACACCAUAGCAUGGCCCCAGCCAGUUCUGAGGCUGAAGUGGGUUCUUUUAUUUUUCCCAGUCGGCCUUUAUGCCAUUUUAACUACAGUUUUUGCAACAUUUCAAACUUAAUCCUGUUCCUACUUUAUAGAUUAAAUGACUGUGCAAUUCCACAUGGGUAGAAAACCUGGGGGGAGGGUCUGACUCCAACCCCGUAUUUACCUCAGAUCUUUUAGCAUCUCACAUUUUAAAGUUUAAACUUAAAAGUUACAACCCUCUAAAGAUACUCCGUUAACAAUGCAGAUUGCGCUUCAUUGUUGCAUGUUUUGUUAGUCCCCACAUUAGCUAAUCUGCUAUAACAAAUGUAAAGAAUAAAAUUUGUUUUAUAAACCAAACCUAUUGCUUAGAAGUGCUAUUGAAAGCAGUACAUGUGGUAGAUCUUUAAUAACCUGUCACAUCUCUAAUUAAAGACUGUUGAAUGGCUGUGAGUAGGCCACCAAUGUAGAGAGGCAGAAGUCAUCGUCCCUGGUUGGGAAAGUAAUUUGUUAGGGCACUGCCCAACAUACUUUGCCCUUACUAAUCGAAACUCAGGUGUACUCAACAGAAUGAAGCAAACAAAACCGGUUUGCUCCUGGAACAGAUGCCCCAGUCUUGGCAGCUGAGUGUCGAUGAGCUCAGAGACUUCCUCAUAUUUGGGCUCUACCUUUAUUACUUUCAAAGGUGUUACUAGUUCUUUUUGAAAAACAGAUAUUCUGACAGUCUUUCACUGUCACUUUAAAUAACAAUCACAAAUAAAGCCAACAACAACAACAAAAAAAGGUUCUCUGCAGUUAGAAAGUCAUUUAUCUAAGUCAAAAGCAAUAACAAAGAAUGACUCCCAGGCAAAAAAAAAUUUGUCUGCAUCACUGACCUGAGCUCGAGCAGGUGAGCUGCCGGGAGUGUACAGCUUGUGCUUGGCAGUUGGCUUUAUCCAUGCUCGGAUUUUCUUUGAUUGUGUUUGUGAAAGACAGACAUCUAUUGAGUUUCACACUCUGUUCUGGGUCAUACAAAAUGUUUUCUUAAGGGCUGGAGAGAUGCCUCAGUGGUUAAGAGCACUGAUUGCUCUUCCAGAGGUCCUGAGUUCAAAUCCCAGCAACCACAUGGUGGCUCACAACCAUUUGUAAUGGGAUCUGAUGCCCUCAGCUGGUGUGUCUGAAGACAGCUACUCUGUACUUAUAAUAAUAAAUAAGUAAAUCUUUAAAAAAUGUUUUCUUAAGAAAUUAUUUAUCGGGCUGGAGAGGUAGCUCAGUGGUUAAGAGCACUGGGGGG